AUUGAACGCUGGCGGCAGGCUUUACACAUGCAAGUCGAGCGGAGAUGAGGUGCUUGCACCUUAUCUUAGCGGCGGACGGGUGAGUAAUGCUUAGGAAUCUGCCUAUUAGUGGGGGACAACAUUCCGAAAGGAAUGCUAAUACCGCAUACGUCCUACGGGAGAAAGCAGGGGAUCUUCGGACCUUGCGCUAAUAGAUGAGCCUAAGUCGGAUUAGCUAGUUGGUGGGGUAAAGGCCUACCAAGGCGACGAUCUGUAGCGGGUCUGAGAGGAUGAUCCGCCACACUGGGACUGAGACACGGCCCAGACUCCUACGGGAGGCAGCAGUGGGGAAUAUUGGACAAUGGGGGAAACCCUGAUCCAGCCAUGCCGCGUGUGUGAAGAAGACCUUAUGGUUGUAAAGCACUUUAAGCGAGGAGGAGGCUACUGAGACUAAUACUCUUGGAUAGUGGACGUUACUCGCAGAAUAAGCACCGGCUAACUCUGUGCCAGCCGCCGCCGUAA
rnacentral:rRNA from 1 species